rnacentral:rRNA from 1 species
UACUAGCUGUCCAAGUCGCAGCCAUAAUUAUUGGGUCUAAAACAUCCGUAGCUUGCUUUUUAAGUCCCCUGUGAAAUCCGGCAUCUUAAGUGUCGGGCGCGCAGGGGGUACUGAUUAGCUAGAGACUGGAAGACGUAAGAAGUACGCUGGAAGUAACGGUUAAAUGUGUUAAUCUCCAGCGGACUCACAACAGCGAAGGCAUCUUACGAGGACAGUUCUGACAGUAAAGGAUGAAGGCUAGGGGC